rnacentral:rRNA from 1 species
UACGUAGGGUGCGAGCGUUGUCCGGAAUUAUUGGGCGUAAAGAGCUUGUAGGCGGUUUGUCGCGUCUGCUGUGAAAAUCCGGGGCUCAACCCCGGACUUGCAGUGGGUACGGGCAGACUAGAGUGUGGUAGGGGAGACUGGAAUUCCUGGUGUAGCGGUGAAAUGCGCAGAUAUCAGGAGGAACACCAAUGGCGAAGGCAGCUCGCUGGGACGGUACUGACGCUGAGGCGCGAAAGCAUGGGGAGCGAACAGG